CGUAGGAGACAAACGUUAUCCGGAGUUACUGGGCGUAAAGGGCGUGUAGGCGGUUCGUUAAGUCUGGCGUGAAAGCUCUCGGCUAAACCGGGAGAGGUCGUUGGAUACUGGCGGACUGGAGGACGGUAGAGGCGUGUGGAAUUCCGGGUGUAGUGGUGAAAUGCGUAGAGAUCCGGAGGAACACCAGUGGCGAAGGCGAUACGCUGGGCCGUACCUGACGCUAAAGCGCGACAGCAUGGGGAGCGAACGGGAUUAGAAACCCCGGUAGUCCAUGCCGUAAACGAUGUCAGCUAGAUGUUCAAGACGCGCAAGCGGCUGGGGUAUCGAAGCCAACGCGGUAAGCUGACCGCCUGGGGAGUACGGUCGCAAGGCUA
rnacentral:rRNA from 1 species